GAUGAACGCUGGCGGCGUGCUUAACACAUGCAAGUCGAACGAAGCCAUUUAUUUGAUUUCCUUCGGGACUGAUUAUUUUGUGACUGAGUGGCGGACGGGUGAGUAACUCGUGGGUAACCUGCCUUGUAGAGGGGGAUAACAGUUGGAAACGGCUGCUAAUACAGGAUAAGCGCCCAGCAUCGUUUGAUGCAGUGUGGAAAACUCCGGUGGUAUAAGAUGGACCCGCGUUGGAUUAGCUAGUUGGUGAGGUAACGGCCCACCAAGGCGACGAUCCAUAGCCGACCAGAGAGGGUGACCGGCCACAUUGGGACUGAGACACGGCCCAAACUCCUACGCGAGGCAGCAGUGGCGAAUAUUGCACAAUGGGCUAAAGCAUGAUGCAGCGACGCCGCGUGAGCGAAGAAGUAUUGCAGUAUGUAAAGCUCUAUCAGCAGGGAAGAUAAUGACGGUACCUAACUAAUAAGCACCGGCUAAAUUCGUG
rnacentral:rRNA from 1 species